rnacentral:rRNA from 1 species
UACGGAGGGGGCUAGCGUUGUUCGGAAUUACUGGGCGUAAAGCGCGCGCAGGCGGCCAUUCAAGUCAGGGGUGAAAGCCCAGAGCUCAACUCUGGAACUGUCCUUGAAACUGUAUGGCUUGAGUAUGAGAGAGGUGAGUGGAAUUCCCAGUGUAGAGGUGAAAUUCGUAGAUAUUGGGAAGAACACCGGUGGCGAAGGCGGCUCACUGGCUCAUUACUGACGCUCAGGCGCGACAGCGUGGGGAUCAAACAGG